rnacentral:lncRNA from 10 species
GUGACCAGAGCGCGUGCGCGAGGGUGUGGGGGGAUGGGAGGGGCAGCAGCCCUCUUCCGGGGGGGAGGGGCGGCGAGGCGAGGCCUGCGGAGCGGACUUCCUAGCAUGGGCUGUUGUGCUGGAGAGAACGAGAGCUACGAAGAGACUACAGUGCCUCUGACUUUUUCAUAGGACAGUUGGCCGAGGAAGACAAACAUAAAGAUGAAGUGCUUAAUUCAAGGUCACACAAUGUCGGGGAUGGACCUCCAGAUUUCCUUACUGACCUGCAUUAUCUUGUGGAUACCUGAGUGAAUUCCACACCACCCAUUUUAUAGAUGAAACCACUGAGACAUGGAGCAAUUGACUGAGUAGUCACUGCCCCACCCCUGCCUGGAGCCUCACACAUGACUCGCCUCCUCUCAGUGACCACAGGAAAACAAGCUCAGGGCUCCCACUGAUUGUACAUUAUGAGACGGAGUCUUGCUAUGUUGCCCAGGCUGGUCUUGAACUCCUCACCUCAAGCGAUCCUCCCGUCUUGGCCUCCCAAGUGUCAGGAUUACGGGCAUGUGCUAUCACACCCAACCUGAUACAUUGCCUUUAUAAAUUUUUUUUUCUUUAUUCUAAAAACCAGAAAAAACAAAACUGGAUACAUGUGCAGAACAUGCAGACCAAGUGUGUUGGGGACUUGAGAUGCGUACAUGAGUGUGAUGUUUCCUGCUGAAAGCACAGGUGAGACGUGGUCUUGUAACACAGUGGUUAAGAAUGUGACUUUGGAGCCAGCCUGCUAGGGGCUGAAUUCUGACUCAGCCAUUUACUAACUGUGUGACCUUAGGGAGGAGGACCUGGUUGAUAGAAGAAUUUAUCUCGUAGUCUUAACAUCCACUGUAAUUCCAAACUUUGAGGACGAUAGAGAUCAGUGGGCUUUGACUGCCCAGCAUGCAGUCUCCAUUCUUAGGUGGGUUCCCAAGCCUGUAAAAUGUAAGCCUUAUGCUGCUGAGGGCCAUCUUGCCACCCUGAGGGAAACGCUGCCUGAGAAUGAAACAAGCAUAAGUAAAAGCUGAGCUGUGAGAUGGAGCAAGAUGAAGGCCACAUGACAUCUUUGGAGCACCUGGAUCUAACUGUGCCUUAAGCUAGUCUAACCCUGAACAUUUCAUCAUUUCAUUGACAUGAGCCCAGGUUUUCUUUUUUUUUGGAUGGAGUCUUGCUCUGUCGCCCAGGCUGGAGUGCAGUAGCUCAAUCUCGGCUCACUGCAAGCUCCACCUCCCGGGUUCACGCCAUUCUCCUGCCUUAGCCUCCCAAGUAGCUGGGACAACAGGCGCCCACCACCACUCCCAGCUAAUUUUUUGUAUUUUUAGUAGAGACGGGGUUUUACCAUGUUAGCCGGGAUGGUCUUGAUCUCCUGACCUCAUGAUCCGCCCGCCUCGGCCUCCCAAAGUGCUGGGAUUACAGGUGUGAGCCACUGCACCCAGCCCUCAGGUUUUCCCUUUUUUUACCCCUCCUUUUGAAAAUUUGAUGUGGAAUUUUGCCACCUGCAGCCAGAAGAGUUUUAACUAAUCAGUGCCAUAAAUUUUAUAUAGUUCUCCUUGCAAAAUGUGGAUCAGCCUUUCUCAGCAAAUCCUUUGUCAUAAAGUGCUGAAUUGUAAGUUUGUCAUGAGAAUCACAUGAGAUCAUGCAUGUGAAGAACCUGGCAUUAUCCUCCUCAUAGAAAAAAACCAGUAAAUAUUAACUACAGGAAGCAAGGAAGGAGUGGGGUGAGGGGAAGAAGAAGGGGUACUGAUUUAAAAGAACCCUGGAGUCCUAAGGAUAAUCUAGGAACCCUCAGACCCAAUCCGAUACCCCUAUUCUAAAUGCUCCUAGUGCCCUGUACCUUCCCCUCAUAAGCCUUCAUUAUCAUUGUAAUGAUAUGUUUAUGUAAUAUUUUGAUUAAUGUCUCUCCUUCACUGACCUAGCAGUUCUAGCAGGGCAGUGAUUUUGCUGUGUUGCAUCCCCAGCACCUAGUCUGGUAUGUGGCAUUCAGCAUAUGUUUAUUGAAUGAAUGGCCAUGUGGUUAUUCAGAUCCUCCUUGAUUAUUGGGGUUAGGAUUGUGGCAGAAGUGGCAAAAUCAGGGAGAGUAGUCCCUGUCCCCUCUGUAUCUUAUACACUGCCCACACUCCCAACACACAUACACAUACAGAGAAUUUUGUCUCAAUUAGAUAAUUAACUUCUGCUUGGUUGUAAACCAAACCACUGGUUCUUAAACUUUCAUUGGAUCAUUUUAUUGAAGAAUUAAAUAGUGUGGUUCUGGCCUAAUGUCUGGAAAGCCUUGCAGAGGAGUGGAUUAGGUCUUUGUGAUAAACAGGCAGCCUUCCCUGCUCCUGUGUCUUUAUAAAAUCUAUUUAACUGGAGUAGUCCACCCUCCCUCAGGCUCUUACAGGAAUAUGUUGGAGGCUGUAGGAAGGUGGGAAACCGAGAGGGAAAGGACUGGGCCGCUGGAGACUUCACUCAUUCCCUAGCAAGAAACAAAAGCAGUAAAAGGUGGCCCGAGGACAACCUGAAGCUCACUCCUUCAGCACUUUUGGCUGGAGGUCACUUGUUGGAGCCCCACUCAGAGCUCAGCACACCACCCCACCAGCAGCCUCCUCCUCCCAGCUGAGGCUGCAUUUCAUCCCUUCCCCCAGCCUGCUUUCCCUGAGAUAGGGGAGUGUUUCCCAGGGCCCAUGUGACUUCCACUGGCAAGUGACGAUUACCAAUGGUUUACUAGUCAGUGAAACUACCAAAGGCUUUUGUGCUGUAGUAAUCCUUUUCCUGUUUAAAACUCUGGGGAUUUUCUAAUGUUGCCAAUAGUUUUUCAAGUCAGCAAUUACUGUGUGGAUUAUGUAAUGGCUCGGUAUUAAAAAUAGAAAAGACUGGAGUUUGCAUCUAUUUUAACCAAAUCUUGAAAACAGAGCAAAGGGAGGGGAAGGGUGGAGAGGGAGAGACCAGAGGAGGAGGGAGAAAAAGAGAUCAUGUGACUGGAUAAGACAGCUCACAAUUCACUGUGCCUUUCUCCCACCAUUUGUGGCCCAAGGACCUGUACUCCCUCCUCAGCCUCCUCUAGGGAGGGGUCCUUGAUGAGAAUUCUGAGGACACAAGACCCCUUGUGGAUAUUUCUUAGCUCAGCCUUGGUGUGCUUACCUGCUUCUGACAAGCAAAGUGGCCAAGUAGGGGAGGGAGUUGAAUCUGAUGUCCUCCACUAAGUCCAG